UACGUAGGUGGCGAGCGUUGUCCGGAAUUACUGGGCGUAAAGGGCGCGUAGGCGGCUCUUUAAGUCAGAUGUGAAAACCCGAGGCUUAACUUCGGGACUGCAUUUGAAACUGAAGGGCUCGAGUGCAGGAGAGGUAAGUGGAAUUCCUAGUGUAGCGGUGAAAUGCGUAGAUAUUAGGAGGAACACCAGUGGCGAAGGCGACUUACUGGACUGUAACUGACGCUGAGGCGCGAAAGCGUGGGGAGCAAAC
rnacentral:rRNA from 1 species